GUGCAGCCGCCGCGGUAAUACGGAGGGUGCGAGCGUUAAUCGGAAUUACUGGGCGUAAAGGGCGCGUAGGCGGUCGCGCAAGUCGGGUGUGAAAGCCCCGGGCUCAACCUGGGAAUUGCAUUCGAUACUGCGUAACUAGAGUCUGGUAGAGGGAAGCGGAAUUCCGCAUGUAGCGGUGAAAUGCGUAGAUAUGCGGAGGAACACCAGUGGCGAAGGCGGCUUCCUGGACCAAGACUGACGCUGAGGCGCGAAAGCGUGGGGAGCAAACAGGAUUAGAUACCCUGGUAGUCCACGCCCUAAACGAUGAGGACUAGACGUUGGGGGGAUAAAACCCGUUAGUGUCGCAGCUAACGCGUGAAGUCCUCCGCCUGGGGAGUACGGCCGCAAGGUUGAAACUCAAGGGAAUUGACGG
rnacentral:rRNA from 1 species